rnacentral:rRNA from 1 species
UACGUAGGGUGCAAUCGUUGUCCGGAAUUAUUGGGCGUAAAGAGCUCGUAGGUGGCCUGUCGCGUCGGCUGUGAAAACUCGGGGCUCAACUCCGAGCUUGCAGUCGAUACGGGCAGGCUAGAGUUCGGCAGGGGAGACUGGAAUUCCUGGUGUAGCGGUGAAAUGCGCAGAUAUCAGGAGGAACACCGGUGGCGAAGGCGGGUCUCUGGGCCGAUACUGACACUGAGGAGCGAAAGCGUGGGGAGCGAACAGG